CUCCGCUACAAUCUUUUUCCGUUUUACCCCUUUAAGCGAUUCGGAAGUUCCUUUGAUGCCAGCCUCUAAGAGUUCUGUUCAAAAAAAGAAAAAAGGAAACCAAUUGGCAAAAUGUUAUCCUCCACCUUCACCCUUGCAGCUGAGGACCCUACGAUGACAGUCUGAGAGAGGUGGCCCACAAAGAAGAAAAUUCAACUUUUUCAUGCUGGGACGAAUGCAGUAAAGUCAGUGAUGUAUUUGGUGCCUCUCAUUAACUACACAAGCUAGAGGGCGAAAUGAAAAAUGAUGACCAGCAUCUCCGGUGAGAAG